AUAAUGUAUGAGAAGCAAAAAUAUGAUUUUAUUGAGUUUGUGGAGGCACCUAAAAAUUACAUAUGGGUUUUGUAGAUGAUUGAGGAUCUAAGCUUAGGUGUUGAAGAGUAAGAAGAACUUAUUGAAGACUAUUGAUUUUAUAAUCCAUAGAUGUGUAGAUGAUUAAGCCUUGGAAGGAUGAGAAUGAGUGUGUUUUCUCUAAUGGAGGCCUUUGGUUGUAUAGUUUGAUUGAACAAAAUAUUUUGGAAAGAGAAGAGGAAAACAUGUCUUCAAAGCUAAAUAUAGCCAAGAAUGAAGGAGCAACUUGAAAAUAUAAAUAUAGCCUGUAUCUUUUUGGCAAAAUGAUUGCGCUUUGCAAUAUUUAUGCAAGAAAACAUUCAGAAUUGAGGAACAUAUGUACAUCAACUGUUGAUCAGUGACUGAAAUUCUUCUAUCUUUGGUGCAUUACAUAAAACACCUACUUUUAUAUCAGUCUACAAAAUAUCUGCUGGUUGGUGGACACCAUGGGUGACGAAAGUAAGGCAUCGCAUUGCGAAUCGAAAAGAAUGAACAUUUGGCGGGUGUCUUCCACAGGUUGUGCUCGACAAAAAAUUUGAUAACAAGCCAUUAAAAAUUUACUAGAGGUCAUUUGAUGGUGGAAUCAAACUUACCUCUUGUAAAUCUUUAAUGGCUUGUUCAACUGCAUAGAUUAUCAUUUUCUUGAUCUGUUGAUGGAAAAAGGAUCAAUAAGAUACUUAAAUGGUAUAGUCAGGUUUACUGAACUCGAGUAUCUUGUUAACAGAAAAAGAUUAAUUACCUCAAGUUUAUCCUCUCUUGCUCUAUGGUUUUUGGGAAGGUGUCGGAACUCCUCCGUUAAGCGAAGACAUUCAUGGAUAUUCUCAGGAGAGACAAAAUCCACAGCAACUUUGGUACAUGACUGCUCGGACAAGUAAGAAGGCAGAAAAGGGAAAGCUUAGUUCUCGUGCUCAAGAAUAUCAUAACUAUUAUACUAGCAGUAUCAUUGCAGCUGUUUGAAAGCGCUAUCUUCUGUUCAAAAAUAGGGGGAUGAAAUACCUUGAGGUUCCUAACUUGGUGCGGACAGCCGGCAGGGAUAAAUACGGCUUCUCCAACACUUUGUUCAAAUGUCCACGGUUCAACACCUACAUGAUUCAAGAGGAUCAGUCAAGAAAUCUAAUCUUGGAAAAAGCACAAAAAGAAUAUAAAUACAGAUUUCUUAAUCCACUAACCAUAUUCCUCUUUCAGCUUCUUUUUGUGCUCCAGAGUUAAAUAAAAACACUGGUCAUGAAUUGGAUGGAUAACCUACUUGGAACCAGGUUAGCUGUUAGUAUCCCACAAUUGGCAUUGAAUUAAAAAAAAAAAACUCAAGAGUCAGCAUAUAGUACCUGUUUCACAGGAGAAGAAAAAGUAUGCCUGAAUUCUAUGUGAUGCUUUCUCAGAUAUUCUCCUAGCUUGGGGACAUCCUCCCUCCUAAAAAUGUCCCACAAUGCACCACAUGUUUCCCCUUUUGUCACUUGGGUACUUGCAUUAGCAUUGAUGGGUUCUCUUAGCUCAUUCUCACUGAUUUCAGAGUUAUUUUCUGUCUCUCCAAUGAGAGAUGCAUCAUCCAUGUCUUCCAUCCAACUGCCACUGCACUCUUCAGGUUGUAUGGUGUUACUAUUGCGCUUACUUUUGUUGUCCCGUUCUAGACUCUCUUUCUCAUCCUGUGCCCUGUGUUUUCUUUUAAGCUUCUGUAUGCAAACUUGCUGAUCUUCUCCUAAGGUUACCUCUUCAGAA